rnacentral:lncRNA from 1 species
CCUCAGGCUGCAGGGGCUUCCUUGGAAACGGAGUGGCCCCCAGCUGUGGGAACUUCUUGGAGAGGUCACUCAACUCCAGUUUGGACGGCUUCUUGGGGAGGUCAGUGACCUCAGGCGGCGGGGGCUUCAAGGACACUGCACCAAACUCAGGCAGCGGGGCCUUCUUGGGGUGCUCGCUUAGCUCAGGCUGGGAGAACUUC